rnacentral:rRNA from 1 species
GUGGGGAAUAUUGGACAAUGGGCGAAAGCCUGAUCCAGCCAUGCCGCGUGUGUGAAGAAGGUCUUCGGAUUGUAAAGCACUUUAAGUUGGGAGGAAGGGCAGUAAGUUAAUACCUUGCUGUUUUGACGUUACCAACAGAAUAAGCACCGGCUAACUUCGUGCCAGCAGCCGCGGUAAUACGAAGGGUGCAAGCGUUAAUCGGAAUUACUGGGCGUAAAGCGCGCGUAGGUGGUUCAGCAAGUUGAAGGUGAAAUCCCCGGGCUCAACCUGGGAACUGCCUCCAAAACUACUGAGCUAGAGUACGGUAGAGGGUAGUGGAAUUUCCUGUGUAGCGGUGAAAUGCGUAGAUAUAGGAAGGAACACCAGUGGCGAAGGCGACUGCCUGGACUGAUACUGACACUGAGGUGCGAAAGCGUGGGGAGCAAACAGGAUUAGAAACCCGAGUAGUCC